GGGGAAUAUUGGACAAUGGGGGCAACCCUGAUCCAGCCAUGCCGCGUGAGUGAUGAAGGCCUUAGGGUUGUAAAGCUCUUUCAGUGGGGAAGAUAAUGACGGUACCCACACAAGAAGCCCCGGCUAACUUCGUGCCAGCAGCCGCGGUAAUACGAAGGGGGCUAGCGUUGUUCGGAUUUACUGGGCGUAAAGCGCACGUAGGCGGAUUGGUCAGUUAGGGGUGAAAUCCCGGAGCUCAACUCCGGAACUGCCUUUAAUACUGCCAGUCUAGAGUCCGAGAGAGGUGAGUGGAACUCCUAGUGUAGAGGUGGAAUUCGUAGAUAUUAGGAAGAACACCAGUGGCGAAGGCGGCUCACUGGCUCGGUACUGACGCUGAGGUGCGAAAGCGUGGGGAGCAAAC
rnacentral:rRNA from 1 species